CCUACGGGAGGCAGCAGUGGGGAAUCUUGCGCAAUGCGCGAAAGCGUGACGCAGCAACGCCGCGUGGGGGAAGACGGCCUUCGGGUUGUAAACCCCUUUCAGGAGGGACGAAGCUCAGACGGUGAAUAGCCGUUCUGCGUGACGGUACCUCCAUAAGAAGCCCCGGCUAACUACGUGCCAGCAGCCGCGGUAAUACGUAGGGGGCAAGCGUUGUCCGGAAUCAUUGGGCGUAAAGCGCGUGUAGGCGGCUCGAUUAGUCCGCUCUGAAAGCCCGGGGCUCAACCCCGGGAGGCGGUCGGAUACUGUCGGGCUAGAGUCCGGAAGGGGCGAGUGGAAUUCCUGGUGUAGCGGUGAAAUGCGCAGAUAUCAGGAGGAACACCGAUGGCGAAGGCAGCUCGCUGGGACGGUACUGACGCUGAGACGCGAAAGCGUGGGUAGCA
rnacentral:rRNA from 1 species